rnacentral:rRNA from 1 species
UUAAUCGGAAUUACAUGGGCGUAAAGCGCAGCGCAGGUCGGUCUGUACAAGUCGGAUGUGAAAUCCCCGGGCUCAACCUGGGAACUGCAUUAGAAACUGGCAGGCUAGAGUCUUGUAGAGGGGGGUAGAAUUCCAGGUGUAGCGGUGAAAUGCGUAGAGAUCUGGAGGAAUACCGGUGGCGAAGGCGGCCCCCUGGACAAAGACUGACGCUCAGGUGCGAAAGCGUGGGGAGCAAACAGGAUUAGAUACCCUGGUAGUCCACGCCGUAAACGAUGUCGACUUGGAGGUUGUUCCCUUGAGGAGUGGCUUCCGGAGCUAACGCGUUAAGUCGACCGCCUUGGGA